rnacentral:misc_RNA from 1 species
GCUUGUGUGUUGUGUCGUGUAUCGUGCGUCCAUCGUGAGCGUGUGGUGUGUGUUCCUGCGGCAGAGGUGCGUCUGCUCGCUCGCCGCAGGAAUCAACGGUGCAACAGGGUUGUUCGUUCGUGUGCUUGUUAAUGAUCCUUCCGCAGGUUCACCUACGGAAA